AUGGCCUCGAGCUCCCUCCCGCUCCUCGCCCUCCUGGCCCUGCUGGCCCUGCCAGGGCUCCGGGCGGCCGUGACCCUGCUGGAGUCCGGGGGGGACCUCCAGCCCCCAGGAACCUCCAUGGCCCUGGUGUGUCGUGGCUCCAGCUUCAAUUUCGGACAAUUUGCGAUGGGCUGGGUCCGCCAGAGCCCUGGGAAGGCGCUGGAAUUCAUCGCGACCAUCACCAACACUGGCGACAGCACCUGGUACGCGCCGUCAGUCAAGGGCCGGUUCAGGAUCUCCAGGGACAACGGGCAGAGCUCGGUGACACUGACCAUGAACAACCUCAAGGACGAGGAUUCCGGUUCCUAUUUCUGUGCCAAAUCUGCCGAUGCUGUUGCUCAUUAUGAUAAUGUUGAUGCUUUUGGCCACUUCCCCUUCACCGCUUCCCCUCCUGUCCCCAAAUCUCCUCAGGCCCUUCCCCCAAACUCCAAUCCUUCUCCCCUUUAUUUGUUUUGUGUUUACAGCCAAUUAUGGUGGGCACAUCCCAAUGGCUCCUUCUAG